UGCACUUUUAAUUUAGGAUUAUAAUUCUUGAUAAUGUUUCUGUGAGCCUUUAAUGUGAUUUAUAGGAAGGCUGGGUUAUUGAAAUCACCAUUAUACCUCUUCUGUAAAACUACUCCAAAAUUAGACCUGCUUGUUGGGGAGAAUUCUUGGACAGAAGGUCGAUGUUGCCCCCAUCCAUGGGGGCUUGAUAACGUUGUUGUUAAGUGGUCUUCCUCCAUAGGGGUCCUGCAGCCCCAAGGAUGAAAGCGCAGUAGGAAUUGAUAGCAGGCUUAUUGGGUACCUCAGUGUCUCUUGAAUGUGGUAUAUUGCUUUUGCCACCUCCCUAUCCAGCAGACAUGAAGCCAAACCAAAAGGUAGAUAUCUGGAAUGGAGGUGCGUUUUGUAAUCAAGGCAGAUAUUUGCCUUAAUUAAGGAUCAAACUGCUUUAUAAAUAUUAGAAAAGUGCUUUGGGCCUGAUUGGGAGAGGAGGCAGCUUAACUGGAAGUUAUGCCCAUUUUAAUAUUAUUGGAGAAUAGGAUGUCAGAGCUGAGAGGACCUGUACCCAUCUCCUGCAGUUUGCUUGUGGAGAAACCAAGGCCCUAAGAAACCGCAGUUCCUUGCCCAAGAAUCCAUAGAAAGAGGUAGCUAGUGGAAGAGUUAUGAUGCCAGCCUGAUGGUAUGGAUUCUAAGUUAAGUCUUCUAGCCUCUAGCAAUACUAAAAAUAGAUUAGAAGGGUUUCUUCUAUUUACUAUGUUGAAUUUUAUUUACUUAGUCUUAAAAUAUGAAAACAUGUUUUAAUGAGUUUUAGAUCUAGAUAUUUCUCUUGGAUUGAAGCAAAAAAUAAAGUCUGAAGGGAAAGAGUAUGAUUGAACUAUUUGUUCUUCUGAACACCUCACCUUUCAUGAUGCAAUAAAUUACUCUGAGUUUCUUGGCAGAACUUUUGACAGCUGUUGCUUUGAAUGGAUUCCAUUCCUGUAUUCCUUAUGGGAGUUUGUUUUUAAAAUAGACUACUGUGAUUGAAAUGAACUCAAUAUGUAGUAAAUUAUAGUUUUCUUCAAUACAUCUUUGGUUACUUGGGUUACAAAUGUUCAACUUCAGCAUAUUUGAGGGUGAGUAAUCAAAAACAUGAAUUUUCCUUUGAUUUCCUACCAGUGUUUGAACUAUCAUAAAGCAUUCUUCUCUUCAUAUGUGUCUUGAUUCUAUAGUCUGUUUCUAAAUGAUAUUUUUCUAUUUCUUAAAUGAUCUCACAACCAUGGUAAUAAUAGAUGUAUACUCAGAAAAUCAAUAAGAAAAUAAUCUGGAAUGGAUGUGUUUCUUGUGAUUAAAACAGGCAUUUGCAAAUGUCCUCUUCUAAGCAGUAGCUGGAAAGAUCUCAAUUACAGUAUAGCACCUUAGAGCUAAAAACAUUUGUUCAACACAAACUAGAAUCACACCUCCUGACUAGAUAUCACCAAGGGAAUGGGAUUUUAAAAAUGUAAAAAAAAAAAAAAAGAAUUCAAAUAUCAUAGCAACCAGAUCUUCCCAUAGUAUUGACAAGUACAACUCAGUAGGUUGUGGUUUGAACAUUAUGAAUGUGAACAAAAUGAACUAUCAGCUGAGAGAUCUUUUUCUCCUCUAGUUAAAUAGAACACUGGUAACUUGGUUUCUCUUUCAAACUGGUUUACUCUGUUUCAAGUAUACUCUUUUAACUCUGAUUUCAAAGGAUCACUUGAAUUUGCACUUUAGUUAUGGGUGUUUUGUUAUGGUUUUUUUGUAUCAUGACUCAGUGUGGUUCAACUUCCUACUAAGAAGUGGGGAUUUGGGUUUUUGGAGUCCUGAGGUGGCAUAUCUUGCUUCUCCUUGGGCACAGGCUAAGGGAGAGUGCCCACCAAUGCCAACAGAUCAGUCAUUGAUGGCAAUUUGAAAUGUGAAUCUUACUCCGUGAGCCACCCUGCUUUGCUUAUUUGCAGUGAGAAAUGCAUCUAGUUACGUGACCCUCCCAAGAGCAGUGGUAAGCACAGCAGACACGGAGGGCCAGACUUUAAAAACAAUGCAAGCGGAUUCUAAGAGGUGCUUCCCUUCCCAAAAAUAGGCUUUCAGAGGUUGCCUUACAAGCGUUCCCUGAAAUAGCCAGUCUGUUAAUGUGAGGAAGACAUCCCAGGUACACAGUUGCUUUUAGGCUUGUAUACUUAUUUUCUACAUUUGCUAAUACACUUGAUGAUAAAGGAACCUUUUCUAAAAGGCAUUGCAGGGUUUCAAUUGAGAGGACUUGUUCUAAUUACAGAAGCCUUGCUCUGCUCUCCAGUUGGGGAAUGUUCAUUUUUUUGUGUUUUGUGAAUUCUCCUGUCUUGCUCUAAGCUAAGUUCAUGGCUGUGGGAGGUUGGAGAAAGUGGGUUUAUGACUCUGAAGACCAGAGGACACUGGACUUUUAAGAGGGCUCGAAUUCGAAUUCGAGGGCUACAGCCCUUAAAUAUUUUUG